ACAACAUCGGCUGAGCACAGCACGAGGAUAUGGUCGUUAAGCACUGUGACGUCACCAAUGACGCUGUGUUAGGCAAGAAGGUCAGGAGCGGACGGCGUCGCCUCAGUGUCGGGCUGACAGCCAACAGACGUAGUUCCUUAGGCGGUGUCCCGCUUCUUACUUCAUUUGCAGCUACACCGGUCAUCAGAAGUCCACACUCGCCUGUUAUGUAAUUCGCGGAACCAAUUUCAUCCGAAUUACUUUGGUUAAGACCGGGUAUUUGGCAAGUUGUGCAGAUUUGAAUUUCUUCAGUCUUGAUAUCUGUAGUGUCCAUUGCAGCAGAUAAACAAAUUUUCAGGGUCUGGCUCGACAUUGGCCACGAGUCUUCUUGAGAAACAACUUUAAAGUGAACGGAGGACUAGUCAGUCACAAGGCACGGAACUAGUUCUGGCGUGACGUAGCUGAAAGUCUCGAUAGAGGUGGUUGGACGGUGUUGAACACGGGGCGGCUGGCAACGUUGCAGGAAUAUCUGAAAGAAA